UACGUAGGGUGCAAGCGUUCAUCGGAAUUCCUGGGCGUAAAGCGUGCGUAGACGGUUCUCUAAGUUGGAUGUGAAAGCCCCGGGCUCAACCUGGGAAUUGCAUUCGAGACUGAAUAGCUAGGGUGCGGUAGAGGGAAGCGGAAUUUCCGGUGUAGCGGUGAAAUGCGUAGAUAUCGGAAGGAACAUCAGUGGCGAAAGCGGCUUCCUGGACCAGCACCGACGUUCAGGCACGAAAGCGUGGGGAGCAAACAGG
rnacentral:rRNA from 1 species